rnacentral:rRNA from 1 species
UACAGAGGGUGCAAGCGUUGUUCGGAAUUACUGGGCGUAAAGCGCGUGUAGGUGGCCAGGCAAGUCGGGUGUGAAAGCCCCGGGCUCAACCCGGGAAGUGCACUCGAAACUGCUUGGCUCGAGUGCCGGAGAGGGAAGCGGAAUUCUCGGUGUAGAGGUGAAAUUCGUAGAUAUCGAGAGGAACACCAGUGGCGAAGGCGGCUUCCUGGACCGACACUGACACUGAGGAGCGAAAGCCAGGGGAGCAAACGGG